UACGUAGGGGGCUAGCGUUGUCCGGAAUCAUUGGGCGUAAAGCGCGUGUAGGCGGUUUGGUAAGUCCGCUGUGAAAGUCGGGGGCUCAACCCUCGGAUGCCGGUGGAUACUGUCGGACUAGAGUGCGGAAGAGGCGAGUGGAAUUCCUGGUGUAGCGGUGAAAUGCGCAGAUAUCAGGAGGAACACCGAUUGCGAAGGCAGCUCGCUGGGACGUUACUGACGCUGAGGUGCGAAAGCGUGGGGAGCAAACAGG
rnacentral:rRNA from 1 species